rnacentral:lncRNA from 1 species
GGGUCGGGUAGGUGGUUAGUAGGAUUGGAUUUGGUUUGUUUUAAAACUUAUUAGUUAAUUGUUAAAAAAGUUAAAUUUAAAUUAAAUUUGUUUUUCCCCUAAUUUUUAGCUCCCAUGUCUCUACUCCUGCUAUUCUUUUCUUUUAUUUUUCUUUUUUCCUUUCUUUUACCUUUUUCUUUUCUUUUUCUGUUAUCUUUCAAAUCACAUUGGUU